rnacentral:rRNA from 1 species
UACGUAGGGUGCAAGCGUUGUCCGGAAUCAUUGGGCGUAAAGAGCGUGUAGGCGGCCGGUAAGUCCGCUGUGAAGUCGGGGCUCAACCCUCGAAAUGGCCGGUGGAUACUGUCGGGCUAGGAGUGGCGGAAGAGGCGAGUGGAAGUUCCGUGGUGUAAGCGGUGAAAUGACGCAGAUAUCAGGAGGAACACCGAUUGCGAAGGCAGCUCGCUGGGACGUAACUGACGCUGAGACGCGAAGCGUGGGGAGCGAACAGG